rnacentral:lncRNA from 10 species
AUUUGGCUCUGUGUCCCUACCCAAGUCUCCCGUUGUCUUAUGAUCUUCAGUGUUGGAGAAAGAGCCUGUUGGGAAGCUAUUGGAUCACGGGGGCAGAUUUUCCCCUUGCUGCCCUCAUGAUAAUUCUGUGUUCAGUCAAAAUAGGAGAUAGUUUGCUGUAUAAUGUUAAAAUUCCUGUCUUCGUUGAAUGAUGCCCCAAAUGUUGAUAUGAAUUACAUAGUGUGUCCUGCUGUGAGCAUCAGAAGGCUAUAUAGGAACCAUGAUGCUGGCACCUGCUCAGAUUCUGGGAAGGCCUCAGGAAACUUACAAUCAUGGCAGAAGGCAAAGAAAAGGAAGGCAAGUCUUACGUGGCUGGAGAAGGAGGAAGAGGGAAAGAGAAGAGGUACUACAGAUUUUUAAACAACCAGAUCUGUGAGAACUCCAUCAUGAGAAUAGCACCAAAGGGAUGGUGCCAAGCCAUUCAUGAAGGAUUCAUCCCCAUAAUCCAAUUACCUUCUAGAAGGUUCCACCCCCAACACCGGGGAUUAUGA